ACAAGGGGUGAACAAGCUUUCUUCAACCAAACCCUAACUAGCUAGAAAUCAAGCAAUUGGAAUCAGUCCCAAAUCGAAAUCCAAGCUUAUUUUAGUGAUUACCUAAGCGAAGGGAUCACAAGUUUGACUCUGACAAGCUUGGUAGGAGCUUGGAAAUGAACGGGUCAAAUGGAUACAAGUUCAAGUAUGAAGCUCGCAAGGAUGCAAGGAGUGAACCGGAAGUGGAUAAUUGCGUCGCUAUAAAGUAGCGGCUAAUAAAAGCAAGGUAUAAAACGAGUUUAUAUGUUGACCCGAGCCAGGUGAAUGUAGCUACCAUCCGGGUGUCGAUCAAGCAAUGAAGUGAACCGAACACUAUGCAGUUACAAGCUUCCGCACAUAGUUUCGUCGUUAUUUUUAAACGGCGAACUCAAUUACAUUACGUUGUA